AUUGAACGCUGGCGGCAGGCCUAACACAUGCAAGUCGAGCGAGCGGCGGACGGGUGAGUAAUGUCUGGGAAACUGCCCGAUGGAGGGGGAUAACUACUGGAAACGGUGGCUAAUACCGCAUACUAUCGGAUGUGCCCACAUGGGAUUAGCUAGUAGGUGGGGUAAAGGCUCACCUAGGCGACGAUCUCUAGCUGGUCUGAGAGGAUGAUCCGCCCAAACGGGACUGGGAACCGGGCCAGACUUCUACGGGAGGCAGCAGUGGGGAAUAAUGCAAAAAUGGCGCAAGCCUUAUGGAGUCAAGCCGCGGUUAUGAAGAAGGCCUUAGGGGUUGAAAGGACUUUCAGCGGGGAGGAGUUACCCGCAGAAGAAGCAACGGCCAACUCCGUGCCAGCAGCCGCGGUAAUUC
rnacentral:rRNA from 1 species